rnacentral:rRNA from 2 species
CCUGAGAAACCUAAAAGAUCGAAUGGAGAGAUUCAUCGUUAGCUCAUGUUGUAUAUAUAUAAGUUGCGAUGCGAGUUACUUUUAUUAGUAUUGCUUGCACGUUCUUAUAUAUUUUAUUGCAACAUGUUGCCGGCGUGCACUUCUCUCCUAGUAGAACAUCGCAACCCGUUAAGUGUCGGUCUACGGCCCAAGUGAUAGACUCUAAUGUAAUUCAAAAAUCAUUAAAGAUCCUUGGUGUUUUCUGACCGGCUACUUGGCGGUACUCGUACGGUAUUUAGUCGCUAUUAUUAUUAAUAUAAGCGUCCAUAUCCGUCACAAGCGAGGCCAAUUUUUAUUACCGAUUGUACACGGACCUAGUUGCCGUCAUUGGUAUUGGCCAGCUGUUGGUUGUACGGUAUUCUAGGACUGGCUAAAAAAAUUUAAUAUUACCGGUUGGCGAUGCUAAUGCUUUGGGUACUUUCAGG